rnacentral:rRNA from 1 species
CAGCCGCCGCGGUAAUGCGUAGGGUGCGAGCGUUAAUCGGAAUUACUGGGCGUAAAGCGUGCGCAGGCGGUUGUGUAAGACAGGUGUGAAAUCCCCGGGCUUAACCUGGGAACUGCGCUUGUGACUGCACAGCUAGAGUAUGGCAGAGGGGGGUGGAAUUCCACGUGUAGCAGUGAAAUGCGUAGAGGUGUGGAGGAACACCGAUGGCGAAGGCAGCCCCCUGGGCCAAUACUGACGCUCACGCACGAAAGCGUGGGGAGCAAACAGGAUUAGAUACCCCCGUAGUCCCUGUCUCUUAUAC